rnacentral:misc_RNA from 1 species
CCCUUUCCUACGAGGAGUGCACAAACGCACAAGCAACUUAGCUACACAUUGAUCCACAGAGCACUCGUCCCCUGCCGCUAAAUCGUUUUUUUUCUUGUUUGUUUUCGAGCUCCGUGCCUUCGGGACAGCCACAGUUGGGGCCGUGAAGGUGUUCUGCAGUUGAACCACCGGCAUCCCCCCUCUUGUCUUCUUGUGCAGUGACUGCGACGCUUCAUACCCUUCACUCCGCUCACACCACACAUAGCCUCCCCCCCUCCCCCACCUUUCCGACUUACCUGCUUCAGAGAUGCUGGAGAUUACGAGCCUUGGCCAGUUGCUAUUGCAUGUACAGCGCAGCGAUGUAGUGACGGUGAUCGACUUCUACGCCGACUGGUGCGGGCCGUGCCAGCAGAUCAAGCCGCAAUUCGAGCAGAUGGCGCGCUACUACGACCCCAGCAAGGUCAUCUUUGCCAAGUGCAACGUCGACCGUAACCGCGAUUGCGCCAGCCGCUACGGCGUCUCCACCAUACCCACCUUCAUCGUCUUCUACGCCAAUGAGCGUGUUGCAACCGUGACAGGUGGCGACCUUGGUAUGGUGCAGCGCAGCAUCGAUCUCGCCGUGGCCCAAAUCCCGGAGACUGCGGCGCCCUCGUCUGCCGGCCAGACGGCAGCGAGGCGUGAUUCGGUGCAGGAGACGCAGGACGCCUUUGCGGAGCAGAUGCUGCGCAUUGUGGAGGCCAAGAGUACCAAGAACCAAAUCCUCGAGAAAGAUAGCUGCGACGCUGCGUACGCGCUACUCAAGGCCAAGACCCCCUACGGCCUGCUGCUGCUGCCCUACCUCGCCUCUGACGCCUUCUCCGCCGUGGCCAUCGACGCCCUCUUCUCCAACAUUGCUUCUCGCGCUGGCGCUGAGCGGCACGAAGAGGGUUAUCUCAUCAACCAGGUCCUAUCCCACCUCAUGCAACUCUCCACCCAUCUCUCCUGGGGGGACAUGAGCGUUGUGAAGCAGCUGCACCGCGUGCUCCUGUCGCUGCUCGCCUGCCCACGGAUGCAGACAGCGCUGAUGACGAGUCCGUUCUUUACCAAUAUGUUCAUCACAACCGGCACGCAGCUCGAGCACACCACGCUCUUGGGCGUUCUCUUUGGCCUGGGACCAAAGCCUAUGGCAGCGGCGCGCGCGCCGCACGGGGACUGGCUCGCGAUGCUAGAGGUGUUCUCUCCUCAAAAGCAGGAUGAGCAUCAGCAGACAGUCUACACAAUACAGCAGGAGAUGAGUACGCUUGCGAAGAUGAACGUGCGACUGGUGCAGAGCCUGCUCCAUGUAAAGACGGCUCGCGACGCAACACUGCGGUACCUUGGCAGAGCCCUACAGCUGAACGAGGAUUACCUGAAGACGAUGCAUCACGACAGCCCCAUCAGCUCUCGCUACUUUAUGAUCCAGCUUCAGUCGGUUCUCAUUGAGCUCGCACUGCCUAUCUUCCAGGCGCGCGCGAACAAGGAAGACACGAGCAGCAGUGGCGGUUACGACUACCGCCAGAUCCCAGCCCACUACCUGCUGGAUCGCCUGUACGGCCCAAACGGCGUCGUCGUUUCCUUUGGCAGCGACGUCGAGCGGGUGGCGCACUUCGGCGACGACAACCCGCUGCCCCGCGCGCCGUCGAGCCGCGACCCCUACAAACCUUUCAUCCAUCUCUUCUUCCUCGCGGCCCGUGCUGUCACGCUGUGCGCGGCCGUCUUCAUUGACGAGCAUGACCGCGACGAGCGCCAGGCGACUCAUCCUCAGGCGUCACGGCAGCAGCGCGACUUCUUCACCGCGGAGAAGCUCCUGCUUGAGGGCCUGCUCGGGUCGACUGAGCUUAGUGCGAGCCGACUCGAGUUCCUCAAUCACCUCGCACACUGGCUCCUGAUGGUGAUGCAAGUGGAUGACCAGGGUGUCCUGCCGGCUCAACCGCCAGCGGAAUGGGGCUACCUCCCGCAGUGCCUCGUCGACUGCGUGAUUCGCGCCACGAGUAUGGCGCCGUUGGACGGCCUUUACUCCGACGGCAUGAUCUCCCUCAUGCUGGUGCUCAUGGGCAACACCAAGUACUUUCCUAAGCCCCACACGCACGCCCUCUUCCCGGCCUACCUUCUGCGGCUGCAGGAGAACUACGCGACACGCAAGGUGCUCGAGCAGCAUCCGUGGUUCAGCACCCACAUUGUGCGCGCCUGCAUGGAGUGCUACAUCGCUGUCGAGAAGUCCACAUACGAGCGAGUCGAAGUGCGCUACGAGCUCUCGUAUGCCAUCAAAACGUUCCUCAAAUCGAACCUGCUGUGCGAGCCGGUGCGCGAGGAGAUGGAGUCGCAGGCGAACAACACCAUGCUCGAGCGCUUCUCGCACAUGGCGGUGGCGGAGGUGAAUGAGGCAGUCGAUCAGGUGAUCGACACCCUCACAAGGAUGAACGAGAUGGUAAAGGCCGGCGCGGAUUUGUCAGAGAACGCCGUCGCGUCAGACAGCCCGCAGAACGCCGCCGACGGCUCGAACGGGGAGCAACAGCAGCGGCAGACGCGCCGUCAGCGAAGCAACGCGAGUCGCAACGAGGAUGUCGACGCCGGCGAGGACGGCGGCGAGGGGGACGAGGAGGAGAAUGCUGACGGGUCGCAGACGUAUCACGAGCGUGGCAUGAGCCUCCGCUCCCACCUGAUGCUCUUUACCGCCUCGAUGGACAUGUUCAUCGAGCUGUCUUUGCAGUUCCCCAAGGGCGUCUCGCAGAACAUGGUGGCUGGGCAGAUCAGCGAGAUGCUUGCCCGCAGCCUGAUGGCGUUCGCCGGCCCAAACAGCCGGAGCCUGAAGAUCCAGAACGCCGACCUCUACAACUUCCGCCCCCGCGAGGUCCUGAUGCGUCUCGUCGACUGCUUCACGCACUUCCGGCGCUCCAAGAACUUUCUCCGCUGCCUGUGCCACUGCAGCAUUCCGCUGUCUGACAUUCGCAGCGUCAUGCGCACCAUCGUGGACCGCCAGCUCGUCUCGGAGGAUCUCAUCUGGAAGGUGUCUGAGAUGGCGGCGGCGGUGACGUCUGUGUCCAAGGAGGUGGACAACGAGGAGGCCGUCUGGGACGACGCGCCGGACUACGCCUUGGAUGCGUUGCUCUCCACCCCGCUCCUCCAGCCUGUUGCGCUGCCGGCGGACGUGAAGGACCUGAAUGACCUGGUGUACGUCAACCAGGAGACGCUGCACCACCUCCUCCUGUCCGAGAGCAAGCACCCUUUCACGAACGAGCCGCUGACGGAGGACAAGGUGGCGGCUUUUAACAAGCGCCCUGACGUGGCGGCCGCUGUGGAGGGGCGACGGGCUGCUAUCCAGAAAUGGCUGGAGGACGUCAAGGCUGCCCAGGUGUAGACUUUCAGCGGGACAGUUGCGCACACGCCGGCAGAGAAGCGGGCGGAGCGAGUGAAGGCGCAGCGCAUCGGUGCAUCUUUUGUAUGGGGCCGUUAGGGAAGGGGGAGGGGGCCGCGUCAUAUGUCAUCGACUGAGCCCUCCCCCGCCCCCCUUGCUCCACCACUUCCGCUUCUCACCUCCCUCUCCUGCGCUCUCACUAUUCUUCUUUCGUGUCGUGUUUUUGCGAUGGGCGUUUUUGUGCGCGCCGACUGCCGUUCCUGUAG